CAAACUCACAGAAAUCUAUCUGCCUCUGCCUCCUGAGUGCUGGGAUUAAAGGAAGUCUGCAUUUGUCCCCAGCAACACAGACAAGGAAACUGAGGCUCAGAGACGAAGAAACCAGAAAGCAACAGGACUAAAACUUUAACCCAAGCCAAUCUGACCUGGAAGUUAAGGCUUUUACCUAUAAUGCCUGUCCCUGUAGUCAGCACAUUCAAGCUGGCUAAGCCCUUCUGCAUCUGACACCCCUGCCUCUGUAUCUCAGGACCUAACAGCUUGGCAGAUACUAAGCACCGAAUAACUUUUUCCUGAUACAAUUCCAUCUGUUGUGUUAGAUCAAGGGACAUUUGUAAAUUUUAAGAAUACCAUGUUUAUUGGUUUCAGUGGGAGAAUUAAAGCAUUUGGAGAGUUGUUUGA